UACGUAGGUCCCGAGCGUUGUCCGGAUUUAUUGGGCGUAAAGCGAGCGCAGGUGGUUUAUUAAGUCUGGUGUAAAAGGCAGUGGCUCAACCAUUGUAUGCAUUGGAAACUGGUAGACUUGAGCGCAGGAGAGGAGAGUGGAAUUCCAUGUGUAGCGGUGAAAUGCGUAGAUAUAUGGAGGAACACCGGUGGCGAAAGCGGCUCUCUGGUCUGUAACUGACACUGAGGCUCGAAAGCGUGGGGAGCAAACAGG
rnacentral:rRNA from 1 species